GUCCGUACGGACAGCGCGCGGCCAGCGCUGACCAUCGCUGUGGACGGAGUACUUUUUCGCCUGACUGAACUCUGUUGAUUGACUAUUCAAAGCACAAAUCGUAAUAAGUUAUAUUGGCAAUGGUUUACCGCAUAU